rnacentral:rRNA from 1 species
AACGAACGCUGGCGGCAUGCCUAACACGUGCAAGUCGAACGAGACCUUCGGGUCUAGUGGCGCACGGGUGCGUAACGCGUGGGAACCUGCCCUUAGGUUCGGAAUAACUCCCCGAAAGGGGUGCUAAUACCGGAUAAUUUCUUCGGACCAAAGAUUUAUCGCCUUUGGAUGGGCCCGCGUUGGAUUAGCUAGUUGGUAGGGUAAAAGCCUACCAAGGCGACGAUCCAUAGCUGGUCUGAGAGGAUGAUCAGCCACACUGGGACUGAGACACGGCCCAGACUCCUACGGGAGGCAGCAGUGGGGAAUAUUGGACAAUGGGCGAAAGCCUGAUCCAGCAAUGCCGCGUGAGUGAUGAAGGCCUUAGGGUUGUAAAGCUCUUUUACCCGGGAUGAUAAUGACAGUACCGGGAGAAUAAGCUCCGGCUAACUCCGUG